CACCCCACCCACCACCCCCGCGCUCUCCCACGGAUUAUCAACUGAUUAUCAUUUUGCUCAUCUCCGCAUUCCUAAGCUUUGGAUCCAGGCUGCUGCUAGCUGCUGGAACUUCUUGUUUCCUGUGUUUGACUGAUUCUUGCAUCCAUUUCAAACUUGCUUCUUUCUUUCUGUUGUAGUGCUUCACAUUAAAAACGAAAAAAAAAAAAACAUGGGUACUGUUGGGUUCUUUGAGUAAUUAGGUGUGGUAAUAUGCGACUAAUUUCUAAUUAAUCAAUUUAUUUCUCUCCAACAUUUAAUUCAACAAUGGUGGUCAUGACAAUGAAGUGUGAAUGGAUGGAUGAGGUUGUGGCAACGGACAAGAAGGUACUGUUGUUGGAGAAGACAAUAACUAAAGAGAAAGAAAACUUAAAAAGUUAAAGAAAAAUUGGGACCCACAAAUUCAUUUGUCUCAAAAGUCAAAACAAAGAAAAUUCGUAUAAUUAAAAAAGAAUCAAGAAAGAAUAUUAAGAGUGUUGAUUAUAUGUUAACCACUAAGAAAAUGACAUGUGUAUGAUUUUGUCAGUUUUUAAUUUAUGUUUUUGCUUAUCUCACUCGCUACUUAGAAGGUGAGUCCACUUUUUAGGAGUGUUUAAAUGCUAGUAAAGUUUAGUUGCUAAAGUGAGUUGUGUGGCUAAGUUUAGGGGGAAAUGAUAUCUUUAAUUACAAAAAUAUAAUUAUCUCUAUAACAUCUGAAAUUGUGAUUAUUUGUCUCAUUACUAAUAAAAAAUUGAAAUUGUUUGUAUAUACAAACAAAAGAAGAAAGAAAAAGAACCGCAAAAAGGAGUCAACUCCCUCAAAUCUGUUAACUGGGAUUUGAGAGGUUUUAAAGAGGUUAUUCCAGCAAAAUUUUCAAAGUUGCUAUACUUCACCAUAUGGUACUGCAUUUUUUGUUUUGGGGUUUUUGCUAAUUUCAUCUAAAUGUGUGGGUAUAACAAUUUUGAAUACCUAUUGAUGUUGCAAUAGUUGAUUUGCUUCAAUUUUAUGUUUGCCAAAUUUACAUUGUUUAUGUUUGGGAAUUCCUAAAGGAUAGAUACAUUGUUGCCAAAUUUCUCUUCAUUUUUUGGUGUAAACCAGAAAACUUUUUGUUUUCAGAGGAUAGUUAAAUCAUUUUCUGUUUGACCUUAUUCCGAGAAUGCAAAAUCAAGUUAAUCCUCUCCUCUUUUUUCAGGUUUUAAGGUCUGGCAAUUUUGUUUGAAGGCCAAGCAUUUGGUUUCAUUUCUCUCCAGUUCAUUUGAUGAUUAGAACAGAGAUUCAAGCUAGUGAGUCGUGAUUCCUGAUGAGGUUCUCAAACAACCAUUUCUUCGUAUGAAGGUGCUUACUUUCCCUUUUAUGUGGCCUUAUGAUGUUUUAGAGGCAAAUUGUCAGUGCAAGAUGCUCGAACUCGACAAGCUGUCACUUGAUAUGGUGUCUUAUAUAAGCAGAACGGUAUGCAGUUGAUCGUACAACAGGAAAUGCUCUCUCUCAUGGCCUAAACCCUGGAUAACACAUCUUUGUCAAUAGGACAAGGCCACUAACUUCAGCUAGUUCAAUUUACCAGAGGACUAAAUCACAGGACAUAAAGAAAGUCAGCAAAUGUGUAGGCAAGAGUUGGAUGAAUUCCACCCAGAAGGAAAUGAAAGAGAUGAAACAAGAGAUUUAGAUAUUAAAGGCUCAAGUUGGUGAACUGCAUCAAUGUAGGAUGGAACUUCAAAGGCAAAUGUAAAAGACCGUCUCUUCAAGUUAUGAAACUUUCAUCAAUUUUAGCAAAUGAUUUGCUUCUUGGGA